rnacentral:rRNA from 1 species
UACCAGCUCUCCGAGUGGUGUGGAUGUUUAUUGGGCCUAAAGCAUCCGUAGCUGGCUGGACAAGUCCCCUGUUAAAUCCACCGAUUUAAUCGUUGGUGUGCGGGGGAUACUGUUCGGCUAGGGGACGGGAGAGGCAGACGGUAUUUUCGGGGUAGGGGUGAAAUCCUAUAAUCCCGGGAAGACCACCAGUGGCGAAGGCUGUCUGCUAGAACGCGCCCGACGGUGAGGGAUGAAAGCUGGGGGAGCGAACCGGAUUAGAUACCCGGGUAGUCCCAGCUGUAAACGAUGCAGGCUAGGUGUUUGGGCGGCCACGUGCCGCUCUAGUGCCGCAGGGAAGCCGUUAAGCCUGCCGCCUGGGGAGUACGGCCGCAAGGCUGAAACUUAAGGAAUUGGCGGGGAGCACCACAAGGGGUGAAGCUUGCGGUUU